rnacentral:rRNA from 1 species
UCCGUUGGUGAACCAGCGGAGGGAUCAUUACCAGAGUGCCCUAGGCUCUCCAACCCAUUGUGAACUUACCAAACGUUCCCUCGGCGGGCUCAGCGCGCGGUGGCCUCCGGGCCUCCGGGCGUCCGCCGGGGAAAACCAAACCCUGAUUUAAUCGUAUUUCUCUGAGGGGCGAAAGCCCGAAAACAAAAUGAAUCAAAACUUUCAACAACGGAUCUCUUGGCUCUGGCAUCGAUGAAGAACGCAGCGAAAUGCGAUAAGUAAUGUGAAUUGCAGAAUUCAGUGAAUCAUCGAAUCUUUGAACGCACAUUGCGCCCGCCGGCACUCCGGCGGGCAUGCCUGUCCGAGCGUCAUUUCAACCCUCAGGCCCACCCUUCCGGGGGAGCGGGCCUGGUUCUGGGGAUCGGCGGCCCUCGCGGCCCCCGUCCCUCAAAUUCAGUGGCGGUCGCGCCGCAGCCUCCCCUGCGUAGUAGCACAACCUCGCACCGGAGAGCGGAACGACCACGCCGUAAAACACCCAAUUUUUUAAGGUUGACCUCGGAUCAGGUAGGAAUACCCGCUGAACUUAAGCAUA